GACGAACGCUGGCGGCGUGCUUAACACAUGCAAGUCGAACGGUAAGGCCCUUCGGGGUACACGAGUGGCGAACGGGUGAGUAACACGUGGGUGAUCUGCCCUGCACUUCGGGAUAAGCCUGGGAAACUGGGUCUAAUACCGGAUAGGACUCCUGCCUGCAUGGGUGGGGGUGGAAAGCUUUUGCGGUGUGGGAUGGGCCCGCGGCCUAUCAGCUUGUUGGUGGGGUGAUGGCCUACCAAGGCGACGACGGGUAGCCGGCCUGAGAGGGUGACCGGCAACACUGGGACUGGGAUACGGCCCAGAGUACUACGGGAGGGAGCAGUGGGGAAGAUUGCACAAGGGGCGCAAGCCUGAUGCAGCUACGCCGCGUGAGGGAUGACGGCCUUCGGGUUGUAAACCUCUUUCAGCACAGACGAAGCGCAAGUGACGGUAUGUGCAGAAGAAGGACCGGCCAACUACGUGCCAGCCGCCGCGGUAA
rnacentral:rRNA from 1 species